AUGGCCUUUAGGACAGAAAUAAGUGUGCAUGGAAUUAAUGUGCAAAUAUUAGAGCUAAACUUAGAAUUUGGAAUAUGCCUCUCUCUAGUAUUGCCCUCAUCACACACUCUCUCUGCCCUAAUGUAUUUUUGCUCUCUCUCUUCCCUAAUGUAUUUUUCCCUACCUUUGAAUAUUCAUUCUAUAACCACUAUACCACAUCUGUUGAAACACAUUCUGCAUUACACUCAGAACAGGUGGGGCAGGAUAGUGGAUAUGAAUAGGGAAGCAGGACCAAUUGAUGCUGAGCAAGAUUUAAAAUGAAAACAAACAGCUAGUUUAAAAAACAGUAAGGGUGUGAAUCUCAUUCUUGGGCAGAAAUGGCAAGGGGGAUUCUUUUUUUUUUUUAACCAACUGCACAAAGAUUCCCUUCUCCUGAAAAUCUUGUGGGAAAUCUCACAGGAUUUCUUGGAAGUCUUUUUUUUAACCAAUUGCACAAAGAUUCCCCUGAAUAAGAUUUUACUUCUCCUGAAAAUCUUGUGGGAAAUCUCACAGGAUUUCUUGGAAGUCUUGUCAUUUUUUUUAAACGGAAGGAAUGGCUCUUGUGCAGGAUGUCUACAAUUCCUGCAAAGAAUGGCAUCUUUUCCACCUAGAAUUUUCCCAGAAAGGACUGAAGAAACACCAAAUGGCACAGGGUUGAUGAGACUGGCUUUUCAUUUUUGUGUGGCAAGCUGGGACAGGGGAAGUUUAGCUAGUGAUUCUUGACAUGGCAAGACUCCAAGAUCACUAAGAGCAAGAUAUUUUCCCAUCACAUCCCUAGUCCUCAGUCACCAAGGGGAGGGGGGUGGAUAACCUUGGCUUUUUGAUAUCUUUUUCACUUGGAUCACAAUUACAGCUAAUCAUCUGAGAACACUUGCUCAAUUUGUAUUUCCAUCAUCAUACAGUUUAUGCAAAAAGGCACAUGAAGAAGAAUUCAAUUUUUGUAUCAAUUCGGCUCAUCAAAAAUACAGAUAAGCUUGAGCGUAAACCAAAAGACAGAGUAUACUUUUAGUAAAUAAACAACUUGUCUUUUGCUCA
rnacentral:lncRNA from 1 species